AUUGAACGCUGGCGGCAGGCCUAACACAUGCAAGUCGAGCGAGCGGCGGACGGGUGAGUAAUGUAUGGGGAUCUGCCUGAUGGCGGGGGAUAACUACUGGAAACGGUAGCUAAUACCGCAUACCAUCAGAUGAACCCAUAUGGGAUUAGCUUGUAGGUGAGGUAACGGCUCACCUAGGCGACGCUCCCUAGCUGGUCUGACAGGAUGAUCAGCAACACGGGGACUGAGAACGGGCCCAGAGUCCUACGGGAGGCAGUAGUGGGGAAUAUUGCACAAUGGGCGCAAGCCUGAUGCAGCCAUGCGGCGUGGAUGAAGAAGGCCUUCGGGUUGUAAAGUACUUUCAGUCGGGAGGCGUUACCGACAGAAGAAGCACCGGCUAACUCCGUGCCAGCAGCCGCGGUAAUUC
rnacentral:rRNA from 1 species